rnacentral:rRNA from 1 species
CAGCAGCCACGGUAACACCGAGGGUGCAAGCGUUAAUCGGAAUUACUGGGCGUAAAGCGCGCGUAGGUGGUUUGUUAAGUUGGAUGUGAAAUCCCCGGGCUCAACCUGGGAACUGCAUCCAAAACUGGCAAGCUAGAGUAUGGUAGAGGGUGGUGGAAUUUCCUGUGUAGCGGUGAAAUGCGUAGAUAUAGGAAGGAACACCAGUGGCGAAGGCGACCACCUGGACUGAUACUGACACUGAGGUGCGAAAGCGUGGGGAGCAAACAGGAUUAGAUACCCGCGUAGUCCCUGUCUCUUAUAC